UACGUAGGGUGCGAGCGUUAAUCGGAAUUACUGGGCGUAAAGUGUGCGCAGGCGGCAGAGCAAGUCGAGUGUGAAAGCCCCGGGCUUAACUUGGGAAUUGCGCUCGAAACUACUUUGCUGGAGUGUGGCAGUGGAAGGUGGAAUUCCACGUGUAGCGGUGAAAUGCGUAGAGAUGUGGAGGAACACCAAUGGCGAAGGCAGCCUUCUGGGCCAACACUGACGCUCAUGCACGAAAGCGUGGGGAGCAAACAGG
rnacentral:rRNA from 1 species